rnacentral:lncRNA from 1 species
GUUUUAUUUGCUCCUAAUUUAUAGGUGAAAAUGCUAUUUUACAUGGAAACCUAUUUUGUUCCAUAAAACUAAAUAAACCAUAACCCAGAAGUGCAAUGAGACACACACAGCAUGACCACAUUAUUUCUGAAAGCUGAAGAGUUGCCAGUCUGUUGAUCUCAAACUUCAUGAACCACACAGUUCAGUUCAAAUUGUUUCCCUGAAAUUGCUUUGAGCCUCUGCCAAAGAGCCACUGAAGGACUCCGAAAAAUACAAGAACUGAAAGGGGCACAUGGCAGAUAUAAUCAUAAACUUUCAUUUCGCAGAGCAGUAAAAAAGGAGAAGAAGAACACACUGGUACUCCAACAAGUCAUAGUUUCUGCCAGAUGUUGCAAAAGUGAGUUAGAUAACUGACCUUUCUUCUGGGGCCUGUGUCAACUUUGAAUGGAGCUUUCAAUUGCACAAUAAGCAUCUGGACAGUUUUGACAUCUUUAUAACACUCUUUGAGUUCUUAAAAAGCUAC